rnacentral:rRNA from 1 species
CCUACGGGGGGCAGCAGUGGGGAAUCUUGCGCAAUGGACGAAAGUCUGACGCAGCCACGCCGCGUGAGUGAAGAAGGCCUUCGGGUUGUAAAGCUCUGUCGGAGGGGACAAAAACGUUUAGGGUUAAUAGCCCUAGAUCUUGAUGGUACCCUUAAAGGAAGCACCGGCUAACUUCGUGCCAGCAGCCGCGGUAAUACGAAGGGUGCAAGCGUUGCUCGGAAUUAUUGGGCGUAAAGGGUAGGUAGGUGGUUACGUAUGUCUGAGGUGAAAGCCCUGAGCUCAACUCAGGAAGUGCCUUGGAAACGGCGUAACUAGAGUGCUAGAGAGGUUCGUGGAAUUCCCAGUGUAGCGGUGAAAUGCGUAGAGAUUGGGAGGAACACCAGAGGCGAAGGCGGCGAACUGGAUAGCAACUGACACUGAACUACGAAAGCGUGGGUAGCAAACAGGAUUAGAUACCCUGGUAGUCCACGCUGUAAACGAUGGGUACUAGGCUUCGUGGGAGUUGACCCCUGCGGAGCCGGAGCUAACGCAAUAAGUACCCCGCCUGGGAAGUACGGUCGCAAGACUAAAACUCAAAGGAAUUGACGGGAGCCCGCACAAGCGGUGGAUUAUGUGGUUUAAUUCGAAGCAACGCGCAGAACCUUACCUAGGUUUGACAUCCUUUGACAACUAGAGAGAUCUAGCUUUUGUAGCAAUACGACAAAGUGGCAGUGCUGCAUGGCUGUCGUCAGCUCGUGUGGUGGCAUGUCGGGUUAAGUCCCUCAACGAGCGCAACUCCUAUCUUUAGUUGCAGCAUUAGUGGGCACUCUAGAGAGACUGCGUGGUCACACGGAGAGGCGGGGAUGACGUCAGUCCUCAUGGCCUUACAUUCUAGGGCGACACAACGUAAUACAAUGGUCGAUAACAGA